rnacentral:rRNA from 1 species
AGUGAACGCUGGCGGUAGGCCUAACACAUGCAAGUCGAACGGCAGCACGGUAAGAGCUUGCUCUUACGGGUGGCGAGUGGCGGACGGGUGAGGAAUACAUCGGAAUCUACUUUUUCGUGGGGGAUAACGUAGGGAAACUUACGCUAAUACCGCAUACGACCUACGGGUGAAAGCAGGGGAUCUUCGGACCUUGCGCGAUUGAAUGAGCCGAUGUCGGAUUAGCUAGUUGGCGGGGUAAAGGCCCACCAAGGCGACGAUCCGUAGCUGGUCUGAGAGGAUGUUCAGCCACACUGGAACUGAGACACGGUCCAGACUCCUACGGGAGGCAGCAGUGGGGAAUAUUGGACAAUGGGGGCAAGCCUGAUCCAGCCAUACCGCGUGGGUGAAGAAGGCCUUCGGGUUGUAAAGCCCUUUUGUUGGGAAAGAAAAGCAGCAGGUUAAUACCCCGCUGUUCUGACGGUACCCAAAGAAUAAGCACCGGCUAACUUCGUG